CAGCAGCCACGGGAAUACAGAGGGUGCGAGCGUUAAUCGGAUUUACUGGGCGUAAAGCGCACGCAGGCGGUCUGACAAGUCAGAUGUGAAAUCCCCGGGCUUAACCUGGGAACUGCAUUUGAAACUGUCAGGCUGGAGUCUUGUAGAGGGGGGUAGAAUUCCAGGUGUAGCGGUGAAAUGCGUAGAGAUCUGGAGGAAUACCGGUGGCGAAGGCGGCCCCCUGGACAAAGACUGACGCUCAGGUGCGAAAGCGUGGGGAGCAAACAGGAUUAGAUACCCCUGUAGUCCCUGUCUCUUAUAC
rnacentral:rRNA from 1 species